rnacentral:rRNA from 1 species
GAUUCCCUUAGUAACUGCGAGUGAAGUGGGAAAAGCUCAAAUUUAAAAUCUGGCGGUCAUUGACUGUCCGAGUUGUAAUCUAGAGAAGUGUUGCCCGUGCUGGACCAUGUACAAGUCUUCUGGAAUGGAGCAUCAUAGAGGGUGAGAAUCCCGUCUUUGACAUGGACUACCAGUGCUUUUUUGGUAUGCUCUCAAAGAGUCGAGUUGUUUGGGAAUGCAGCUCAAAAUGGGUGGUAAAUGCCAUCUAAAGCUAAAUAUUGGCGAGAGACCGAUAGCGAACAAGUACCGUGAGGGAAAGAUGAAAAGAACUUUGGAAAGAGAGUUAAACAGUACGUGAAAUUGCUGAAAGGGAAACGCUUGAAGUCAGUCACAUUGACUUGAAAUCAACCCUGCUUUUGCUGGGUGUACUUUCUUGUUGAUGGGUCAGCAUCAAUUUUGACCGUUGGAUAAAGUUAUUGGGAAUGUGACAUCUUUGGAUGUGUUAUAGCCCAUUGAUGCAUACAGCGGUUGAGAUUGAGGAAUUCAGCAUGCCGCAAGGCCGGGUUUUUAACCACGUUCGUGCUUAGGAUGCUGGCAUAAUGGCUUUAAUCGACCCGUCUUGAAACACGGACCAAGGAGUCUAACAUGCCUGCAAGUGUUUGGGUGAAAAAACCCAUGUGCGUAAUGAAAGUGAAAGUUGAGAUCCCUUAGGGGAGCAUCGACGCCCGGACCAGACCUUUUGUGACGGAUCCGCGGUAGAGCAUGUAUGUUGGGACCCGAAAGAUGGUGAACUAUGCCUGAAUAGGGUGAAGCCAGAGGAAACUCUGGUGGAGGCUCGUAGCGAUUCUGACGUGCAAAUCGAUCGUCAAAUUUGGGUAUAGGGGCGAAAGACUAAUCGAACCAUCUAGUAGCUGGUUCCUGCC